rnacentral:misc_RNA from 1 species
AACAAGGCGUACCUGCGGACCUGCGGAAGGAUCAUUACGAGAGUGUCACCACUCCCAACCCACUGUUUACCUACCCGUCCACCGUGCUUCGGCAGGCAGUCCUGUGGGACAGGGCCUCGCCCCCGCGAGGGGGUGCCUGCCGCUGGCCAACCAAAAAUUCUAGCUGUUUUUGUACCAUCUGAGUCUUCCACAAAUAAACAAAACUUUUAACAAUGGAUCU